rnacentral:rRNA from 1 species
CAGGGGGGGCAAGCGUUGUUCGGAAUUACUGGGCGUAAAGGGCCAGUAGGCGGCCAACUAAGUCACACGUGAAAUCCCCAGGCUUAACCUGGGAACUGCGUGUGAUACUGGAUGGCUUGAAUUCGGGAGAGGGAUGCAGAAUUCCAGGUGUAGCGGUGAAAUGCGUAGAUAUCUGGAGGAAUACCGGUGGCGAAGGCGGCAUCCUGGACCGACAUUGACGCUGAACGGCGAAAGCUAGGGGAGCAAACGGG